rnacentral:lncRNA from 1 species
GUGACUUCGCAGGAGACCGCCACUCACGCGGAGCCAAUCGGAACUCGCGGCGGGGUUGCUGGGUCUUCCAGGAUCGCGCAUUAGCGGACGCUGGCUACGGGUGGCCGGGCGGGAUGUAACCGGCUGCUGAGCUGGCAGUUCUGUGUCCCCAGGCUUCGGCCCGGCCGCCGCCGCACAUAAACUGCGAGGAGGAGCUUUACGACUUCUCGGUCUUCGGGGCCGGGCGCAGCAAGGGCCAGACUCUGCGCUAGCAGGCGCUGCGCGCCAACCGGCCGGCCCCUGUCGCAGAAGGUGCAACCGAUCGCACUGUCGCGCAGAAGCUCCUCAAUGGCCAGCGCCAGCUGCAGCCCCGGCUGCCCACUCGCCUCACCUGAGCCUGGGUGGAACAAUCCAAAGUUUUAAUCAAAGAAGGUGGUAUUCAGUUGCUGCUUACAAUAGUUGAUACCCCAGGAUUUGGAGAUGCAGUGGAUAAUAGUAAUUGCUGGCAGCCUGUUAUCAAUUACAUUGAUAGUAAAUUUGAGGACUACCUAAAUGCAGAAUCGCAAGUGAACAGAUGUCAGAUGCCUGGUAACAGGGUGCACUGUUGUUUAUACUUCAUUGCUCCUUCAGGACAUGGACCGUUACAUAACUGAAGACUCCCACCUUCAGGCAGGAUUGGGUAGUACAUGUUUGUAACUACCUGGCAUUGCCUUUUGUUGAGACUUAAACCAUUGGAUAUUGAGUUUACAAAGCAUUUGCAUGAAAAAGUGAAUAUCAUCCCACUUAUUGCCAAAGCAGACACACUCAUGCCAGAGGAAUGCCAACAGUUUAAAAAACAGAUAAAGAAAUCCAAGAACAUAAAGUUAAAAUAUAUGAAUUUCCAGAAACAGAUGAUGAAGAAGAAAAAAAACUUGUUAAAAAGAUAAAGGACCAUUUACCUCUUGCUGUGGUGGGUAGUAAUACUAUCAUUGAAGUUAAUGGCAAAAGGGUCAUAGGAAGGCAGUAUCCUUGGAGUGUUGCUGAAGUUGAAAAUGGUGAACAUUGUGAUUUUACAGUUUUAAGAAAUAUGUUGAUAAGAACACACGCAGGACUUGAAAGAUGUUACUAAUAAUGUCCACUACGAGAACUAUGGAAUCAGAAAACUGGCAGCUGUGACUUAUCAUGGAGUUGAUAACAAGAAGAAUAAAGGGCAGCUCACUAAGAGCCCUCUGGCACAAAUGGAAGAAGAAAGAAGGGAGCAAGUAGCUAAAAUUAAGAAGAUGGAGAUGGAGAUGGAGCAGGUGUUUGAGAUGAAGGUCAAAGAAAAAGUUCAAAAACUGAAGGACUCUGAAGCUGAGGUACAGCGGACCUUCCUGGCAUCAGAAAAAGGCCUCCAGAAAAAGAGACACAGGAACUGAUUUCAUCUGAAAUUGAAGAGACAAUCAGAGAAAAACUAUAGACCACUCAUGAUGGUUGUUAUAUGUGCUUGGCUGGGCCAUGGGUCCCAGUGUUUGGUGAAACACAGCAGCAGAUGUCCCUCACACACAUGCCCUCUUGGUUCUGUUUCUUUGAAGAACCCCAGGAAAACACACAAAGGAAAAACAACUCGAUAGACAGAAGAUUCUUCAAUGACAACAAUGGAAGCCAUCUUCACCAUUCAACUAAACUUGAAUGGGAUAUUAUCAAACUUAAAAAAAAAUUAUCAACUGAUCGUGUAAUCAGUUUCAUCUUUUAAGACAGGAAAUGAAAUAAAGUAUUUACAGAUGAAUGUAAAAUGAA